GACGAACGCUGGCGGCGUGCUUAACACAUGCAAGUCGAACGGAAAGGCCCUGCUUUUGUGGGUUGCUCGAGUGGCGAACGGGUGAGUAACACGUGAGUAACCUGCCCUUGACUUUGUGAUAACUUCAGGAAACUGGGGCUAAUACCGGAUAGGAGCUCCUGCUGCAUGUUGGGGGUUGGAAAGUGUCGGCGGUUGGGGAUGGACUCGCGGCUUAUCAGCUUGUUGGUGGGGUAGUGGCUGACCAAGGCUUUGACGGGUAGCCGGCAUGAGAGGGUGACCGGCCACAUUGGGCCUGAGCUACGGCCCAGACUCCUACGGGCGGCAGCAGUGGGGAGUAUUGCACAAUGGGCGGAAGCCUGAUGCAGAAACGCCGCGUGCGGGAUGACGGCUUUCGGGUUGUAAACCGCUUUCGCCUGUGACGAAGCGUGAGUGACGGUAAUGGGUAAAGAAGCACCGGCUAACUACGUG
rnacentral:rRNA from 1 species